ACCACCCUGGGCAACAUGGUGAAAUGCCCAUGGACACCUCAGCAUCCCAAAGUGCUGGGAUUACAGGCAUGAGCCACUGGCCUGGCCCAGCCACUGCCUUUGAACUCAUAAAUUCACACUCCCAGCUUGCAGAGACGGGACGCGAUGGUUUAGGGUUUUAUGUGCAGAGUCACCUUUAUGAAUUCAUAAAGACUCUGACAACAUUCUUAUAAGCAAGUGGAGGAUCUCUCAGGCAAGGAAACUGCCCAGAGAGGUGAAGUAACCUACCUGAAGUCCCACAGCACUGUUCCAUAGGGGAUUGACAUUCUCACCAGGCCAUUCCCUGAGUGGGUCUGCAGGGGUUAACCGGGCUGGCUGGCGCCUGCCAAGCAGGAGGGGGGAUCUCGCAGAGAGUGAGGGUUGGGGAAUGGGCAGCCUUUCUGGGUCUCUGACUCCUCCUCAGGGGGCAGCUUGAGCCUCUGCCAGCCUCUUGUUGACUCAGCCGGCCUCUCUUCUGCCAAGGCCUGCUGGCCAGAGCUCCCACGGGGAGGGUCAGGCCACAUUCUUCUCUGGCUGGAGCCUGAGGGGUGGCUGGCACCUCCUGGUGGAGUCUGUGUGCUGGAGAGCUCAUCUGGUUUGUGGGCACUGGGACAGAUGCUGGGGUGAGGUAGGAAAUGUUUUUUGGGGGGGGUCAAGGAUGGCUUCCCAAAGGACCACCUCAGAGCUAAUGAAUUAGGCUGGGAACCGGGCGACUUGGCUGCAUGGAUCAGCUUCGUCUUUUUUUUUUUCUUUUUUUGAGACAGGGUCUUGCUCUAUUGCCCAGGCUGGAGUACAGUGGCAUGAACAUAGCUUACUGCAGCCUCGACCUCCUGGGCUCAAGCGAUUCUCCCACUUCAGCUUCCUGAGUAGCUAGGACCGCAGACACAUGACACCGUGCUUGGCUUGGCUAAUUUUUUUGUUUUUGGAGAUGGAGUCUCACUAUGUUGCCAAGGCUGGAGUGCAGUGGAGCGAUCUCAUCAAGCGAUUCUCCUGAUCGGCUAAAUUUUAAAUUUUUGUAGAGAAGUGGUCUUGCUAUGUUGCCCAGGCUGGUAUCAAACUCCUGGGCUCAAGUGAUCCUCCCGUCUCAGCCUCCCAAAAUUCUGGGAUUACAGGUAUGAGCCACUGCACCUGGCCAGCGUUGCCACGAAUGAGCUGGGUGAUCUUAGUGAGACACUUGAAUCAUCCUGUGCCCCACCUCAGUUUCCCCAUCCAUCAAAUGGGUAUAUGGAUAAAACACCCUGCCUGCCUUUCCCCACAGCUGUUGGGAGGAUCAAAGGCAAAAACAAGUUGGGCUGGAGGGAACGCCCUUUGUAGGGCAAAGGCCCACACGUGCAGGCUGGCCAGCCUGGCAUUCUUUUUUUUGAGACAGAAUCUCACUCUGUUGCCCAGGCUGGAGUGCAGUGGUGCAAUCUGAUCUCAGCUCACUGCAACCACCUCUUGGGUUCAAGCGGUUCUCCUGCUUCAUCCUCCCAAGAAGCUGGGACUAUAGGUGUGUGCCACCACGCCCAGCUAACUUUUUGUAUUUUUAGUAGAGACAGGGUUUCACCAUGUUCACCAGGAUGGUCUCGAUCUCUUGACCUUGUGAUCUGCCUGCCUCGGCCUCCCACAGUGCUGGGAUUACAGGCGUGAGCCACCGUGCCCGGCAACCUGGGGUUCUUUAGGGGAGCAAGUGAAGGGAAGGGGAUGCAGAGGCCGUUCUCAGCUGUGACCUGAUCUGCCCGACAUCCCUGCCUCUCCCCGCCUGACAUAGUGACACUGAUGACAAUAGCACCUCCUGCCAGGCGCACAGUCCUCGAAGGUUUACCAAGUCCUUCCAUUCCCAUGCCGGUCACCUGCUGCCUCAGGGCCUUCGUGCUGCCCUUCCUUCUGCAGAGGAUACUCUUCCCCAAGAUAAGUGAAAGGCUGUUUUCUGCUCAGCUCAAAUGUCCCCUCCUCAGAGGCCUACUGGACCAGGGACCUAAGUUGAAUUCUUGGCUAGGCAUGGUGGCUCACACCUGUAAUCCCAACACUUUGGGAGGCCAAGAGGGGUGGAUCAUCUGAGGUCAGGAAUUCGAGACUAGACUGGUCAACAUGGUGAAACCCCGUUGGUACUAAAAAUACAAAAAUUAGCCAGGUGUGGUGAUGUAUGCCUGUAAUUCCAGCUACUUGAGAGGUUGAGGUAGGAGAAUCUCUUGAACCUGGGAGGCAAAUGUUGCAGUGAACAGAGAUUGCACCAUUGCAUUCCAGCCUGGGCAAAAAGAAUGAAACUCCAUCUCAAAAAAACAAAACAAGCCAGGCGCGGUGGUUCACACCUGUAAUCCCAACACUUUGGGAGGCCAAGGCGGGUGGAUCAUCUGAGGUCAAGGAGUUCAAGACCAGCCUGGCCAAUAUGGUGAAACCUCGCCUCUACUAAAAAGUACAAAGAUAUUAGCCGGGUGUGGUGGUGCACACCUGUAAUCUCAGCUACUCAGGAGGCUGAGGCAGGAAAAUAGCUUGAACCCUCUAGGCAGAGGUUGCAGUGAGCCAAGAUUUCACCACUGCACUCCAGCCUGGUAUGACAGAGCGAGACUCCAUCUUAAAAGAAGAAAAAAACGAAAACAAAUUAAGUUCUCUCCCACCCCUGCCCCCCCAGUACCCUCCCUUCCGUGCUGUUCCUCUGUGUCUCUAGUGACUGCCAUGACCUUGCUCAGGGGACCGUCUUCCCCUAUGACAUUAAGCUCCGUGAGGGCAGGGAUGGUGACUGUCUGGCUCAUCGCGGUGUCUAGUGACAGACUGCAGCCUUCCGAGGUAACUGUCAUUGUCUUCCUUUGCAGAGAAGCUUAGAGAGACCUAAUGACUUGCCCAAGUCCGCACAGCUGAAGGGAUGGACCCAGGACUGGCCAGGCCUCUUAGAUUCCAGUCCGUGGCUCUUUCAAGAAAUGCCCUACAACUGCCACACCGGUGUCCUCUGCAGGCCCUACCUCCCUGGAAAACAGAGAGGGCGUCUUACCCCUUUGUCACCCCCCACGAAGUCCAGCCCGCACCUCCUCCUCACACAUAGUCGGCGCUGUGCACGUAUUUAUUUGGAGGUCACGGGAAGAAGGAGCUGCUGUAUCCAACACGCAAAGCCUGGCUGUGGCUGCCACCCUUGUGGGCCUCUGUGCCUUCACCAAGGGACUAAGGACUAAUGCCUCUGGCCCACAGUGGGGCAUUCCAGGGGCCUCCUCACCCCGCUCAGGCAGGCCGGCUGGCCCAGCAGCUGUGGGGUGGCCGGAUGCCCCACCCCUGGCGCCUUUGGGCCCCGAGCCCAGGCCGCAGGCUGAGCUGCUGACUGGCACUGCUCCUUAGGUUUGGGUCAGGAACACCGCAGGGAUUUUAAAAAUAAAGGGCCUUGAGACAGUGGCCUGGCCCAGGCAGCCAUGGGGCGGGGCGGGGGCCAGGCAGGGACGGUGGAGGAUUGCUGAGCCCACAGCAGGCAGCAAGGCCAAGGGGGCCUCCUUUUCUCCUCCCAAACAGUACUGCUCUUCCAGGAACACCUCCUCCCCAGCUAUUCUAAACAUGAGUCUCCAGUAUUUCCUGAGCACCUACUAUGUGCCAGGCCUCGGUGGCAGAGGGGUGGAUCCUCCAGAGGCUCUUCCCUGUAACUGCGUGGCUCUCCUCAGUGGGACCCCUCCCUUCUUACUCAACCUCAGGCCACGGACUAUUUAUUGAGCACCUACUGUGUGCCUUCACUCUCUGGUGGGCUCUUUCCCACUCUGCUCUCACUCCCUCGGGCACCUCCCCUGUUCAGCCCAUUUCAGUCCCCUUCUUUCUCAUCUGGCUCAGCUAACAGGAAACGCAGCUGCCGGGGAGGUCAACAGCCCCCGGCCUCCAGAGCCCAGCGCAGCACACACAGGGCCUGUCUACAUGGUGCAGCGGGGAGGGGGGGCUUCCUGUUUACGAGAGUCACAAGGACCCUCGGGUGGCGCUCGGACAGGCCUCCAGGGCAGCCCCUCUAGUCUAGAUCUAAUCUCUCCCUAGGAGGGGCCACCCAGCACCCCCACAGGCCCCAGGCGGCUAGUUCAGACCCAGGCCACUACCACCCGCCCCCACAACCUGGGGUGGUAGGGAAAAGAGGAGGAGCGAGGAGUCUUGGGAACAGCCUGGAAUGUGGGAGUUGAAGGUCCGCAGGAAGCAUCCCGGGCUCCAGGCCCCCCUCCAAGUCUGGAUGCCCCGCCCCAGUCCUCUCCUCCCAUCCCGGGGCCUCCCCAGCUCUGAUGGGGGCGGGGCUGACGGAGCCAGGAAGGAGGAGACCAGAUUCCUUCCCUUCCCGCUGGGGCAUGAGGCCGCAGCUCUGGCUUGACUGUGCUCUGGCGGACUCAGUCUCUCCAUUCCUAGGGCGGGGCGUGGAGCCAGCUCCCGGGUCAGCCCCCAUCUGCUGCUGCCUCCCUUUUCCCCCCACCCCUGCUGCCUCCACAAUCCCAGAGACUGGGACUAGCAGGGGAGGCCUCCACGGAGGGGUGGGGCUGGCCAAAGGUACCCAUGGGGAAACAAACAGUCCUGCCAACCCCCCGCUCCAGGCAGCCCCAGCCAAUCAGUCCCGUGGUUGCCCAACGGUAUUGACCGAGGGCCUGAGGGUCACGGCCACUGGGCCAGAAGAGGCCGGGCUGAGGGAGACCGCCCCGUUCCCCACCGCUCCCUCACCUAACCCCAAAGGAGAAAGCACCUGGCACCGGUGAGCACGCAAUUCCAGUUGGGAAGCAUUAUUAUUAAUGAGAAGUAGAGAAAGUUGGCUUUACCUCCAGGACGUGUCGACAGGUGGGCGGAAGGCGUUUCACCCGAAGGCUCUUCAAAGAACGACCUGAUACUCAGCCUCUAGGAUUCCCAGACUUGCCUGAUCCAAGAAACUCCCUGGGGCUGUGGUUCAAAACGUCAGCUUCUAGCUCAGUAACUGAGGCCACCAGAGGCCUGAACUGGCUGCACCUGCGGGACGAGGGCGCCACCGUGUGUCCAGCUUGGAGCAGUGUGGUUGCAGACUUGAGCCCAGCCCCUGCCCUGCUGACAGCCACUUACAGAACGCCUGCGCCCGCCAGUCACUCCACACACAUCGGUCCUCUUCCUCACGGCCGCAAGAUAAAGAGGGAAUUACUAUCCAGCUUUUCAGAUGAGGAGACUGAGCUCAGACCCUGCCAGGGUCACCCAGCCUCCAGCUGCCGCCUACUCCAAAGCCACACCCGGGACAUGCUGUGGACAGACAAAAACCAGACCUCUGCUUGGGUCUGGGUGUGAAUCUUCAGCCUUCUCAGGGUGUCCUGUUUCCUCUUCUGUAAAGUGGGGAUGGAAGCAACGACCUCCCCUGCCAGGUAGCUCCUUCCCCGUCUCUGGCCCCGAGAGAAACCUGUAGACCCCUGAGGAUUUGGCCAAGGAGUCCUGUGGGUCUUGCGGGAAUGAAUUUUGGGACACACAAUUCUGAGUACUUUCCAAACACUGGUCUUUUUGAAUGUUUUGUUGUUUUUCUCUAAGCAUUUACAUAUGUGUGAACUAUUUAGUGAUUUAAAAAAUAUGCUUACUGGGUUAAAACUUUAUGUAGGGCUGGGUGCAGUGGCUCACGCUUGUAAUCCCAACCCUUUGGGAGGCCAUGGUGGGUGGAUCACUUGAGUUCAGGAGUUCGAGACCAGCCAGGCCAGCAUGGUGAAACCAUCUAUACUAAAAGUACAAAAAUUAGCCAGGCAUGGUGAGGCAUGCCAGUAAUUCCAGCUACUCAGGAGCCUAAGGCAGGAGAAUCGCUUGAACCUGGGAAGCAGAGGUUGCAGUGAGCUGAGAUCGCGACACUGUACUCCAGCCCGGGCAACAGAGUGAGACUCUGUCUCAAAAAACAAAACAAAAUGAAACUAAUUUUAUGUAGUCCUCAGUUCCCCUCUAAAAGACGACAGCUGGCUGAGCGCAGUGGCUCACGCCUGUAAUCCCAGCACUUUGGGGAAGCCAAGGCAGGUGGUUCACUUGAGGCCAGGUCUUUGAGACCAGCCUAGGCAACAUGGUGAGACCCUGCCUCUAUUAAAAAAAAAAAAAAAGGCCGGGUGCGGUGGCUCAUGCCUAUAAUCCCAGCACUUUGGGAGGCCGAGGUGGGUGGGUCACGAGGUCAAGAGAUUGAGACCAUCCUGGUCAACAAGGUGAAACCCUGUCUCUACUAAAAAAAUACAAAAAAUUAGCUGGGCAUGGUGGUGCGUGCCUGUAAUCCCAGCUACUCAGGAGGCCGAGGCAGGAGAAUUGCCUGAACCCAGGAGGUGGAGGUUGCGGUGAGCCGAGAUCGCGCCAUUGCACUCCAGCCUGGGUAACAAGAGCGAAACUCCGUCUCAAAAAAAAAAAAAAAGUAAUAAAAUAAAUGAAAACCAAGAGCGAAUGGCAGUUUCCUCCAUAUUCAUUCUCCCAGAGAUGAUCUGGGAUGAUUUAUAUAUGUACGUGUACGUAUGUAUGUAUAAGUAUUAUAUGCAGAUACAGAUACCACACACAUGGUCCCCUUCUUUUCUAAAACAAUGGUGGCAGACGACAUAUGCUUCUGUACUUUCUUUUGCCACCUAAUGACAUUUUUUACAUUUAUUUUGCAUAUGAUUCCAUACAGUUGACCUUUGCGGGUCGUGUUAGUUUGGGCUGCCUUUACAAACCGCAGGGCUGAAACAGCAGAGAUGGAUUUCCUCACAGUCUGGAGGUUGGAAGUUCAAGACCGAGGUAUGGCGUCUCUCCUUGGCUUUCAGACGGCCACCUUCCUGUCAUCGUUCCUCUGUACACUUCUGUGUCCAAAUCUCCUCUUCCUAUGAGAAGCAAGGGUGCAGUGUUGAUCGAUAGUAUAGAUAUGAAGUAAGUGUACACAGAGUGAGCUCGGCAUGUAGCCAGCAGCCAAAUAAAGACCUAAAGCAUACUGGGUUAGGAUUUGUCCUAAAGACCUCAUUUUAACUUUUUUUUGAGACAGGAUGUCACUCUGUUGCCCUGGCUGGGGUGCAGUGGUGAGAUCUUGGCUCACUGUAACCUCUGCCUCCCGGGUUCAAGUGAUUCUCCUGCCUCAGCCUCCUGAGUAGCUGGGAUUCCAGGCAUGCACCACCACGCCCAGCUAAUUUUUGUAUUUUUAGUAGAGACCAGGUUUCACCUGUUGCCCAGGCUGGUCUCAAACUCCUGUCCUCAAGUGCUCUCUCAGCCUCCCACAGUGCUGGGAUUACAGGUGUGAGCCGCUGCACCCAUCCUUUCAUUUCAACUUAGUCACCUGUUUAUGUUUUGUUUUUGUUUUUAGAGACAGUCUCGCUCUGUUGCUCUGGCUGGAGUGCAGUGGCACAAUCACGGCUCACUGUAGUCUUGACCUCCUGGGCGCAAGCCAUCCUCCUGCCUCAGCCUCCAGGUUAGCUGGACAUACCACCACCACACCUGGUUAAUUUGUACUGGGGGGGGGGUCUCACUAUGGUGCCAGGCUGGCUUGAACUCCUGGGCUCAAGCCAUCCUUAUACCUCAGCCUCCCAAAGUGCUAGGGUUACACUGCCAACCUUUGUUUUUUUUUGAGGCACAGCCUUGCUCAUUCGCCCAGGCUAGGGUGGAAUGGCUCAAUAUCAGCUCACUGCAACCUCCGCCUCCUGGGUUCCAGCAAUUCUCCUGCCUCAGCCUCCUGAGUAACUGGGAUUACAGGCAUGCACCAACACACCCAGCUAAUUUUUGUGUUUUUAGUAGAUAUGGGGUUUUGCCAUGUGGGCCAGUUAAAGACCAUGAGGUCUUUAACUCCUGACCUCAGACGAUCCACCCACCUUGACCUCCCAAAGUGCUAGGGUUACAGGCAUGAGCCACAGCGCCCAGCUUCCCUAGUCUUCAGUCACUUCUUUAAAGACCUUAUCUCCAAAUACGGUCACGUCCUGAGAUACUGGUGGUUGGGACUUCAACAUACGGAUUUUUGGGGAACACGUCAGUCAGCCCAUGGCAGAGAAGCAGGGGUACAAUUUUGAUGGAAAUGUUACAUAUAUGAAAUAAGCGUAUACAGCAUGAGCACGCCAUGUAGCCAGCAACCAGAUAAAGACACGCAAGGCAGCCAGCCCCCAUGGACCCCUGCAAGCCCGCUUUCAACAGUUCCUCCCAUAAGGAAGGCCUGUCCUGACCUGGAAGACUUUGACCUGGUUUUGUCCUCUGCGUAAGUGGAAUCCUGUCCUCUUUUCUGUCUUCCUUCACUCAACAUGAUGUUCAUGAAAUUCAUCCACGAUGUCUGCAGUUUUACAUUUCUUAUUUAUUUGCACGUAGCACUCCACUGUGUGACUAUACCAUACCGCUUUUUUUUUUUUAGAUGGGGUCUUGCUCUGUUGCCCAGGCUUGAGUGCCAUGGUGUGAUUGUGGCUCACUGCAACCUCCCCUUCUCAGAUUCAGACGGUUCUCAUGCUCAUUGUGGCCUUGACCUCCUGGGCUUGAGUGAUCCCCUUCGGUAGCUGGGACUGCAGGCAUGUGCCACCAUGCCUGGCUAAUCUUUAAAUUAGUUUUUGUAGAGACUGGGUCUCACUAUGUUGUCCAGGCUGGUCUUGACCUCCCAAAGUGUUGAGAUUACAAGUGUGAGCCGCCAUGUCCAGUUAUGUAUGUAUUUAGAUCCUAUUUAAUUUCCCACAGUAAUGUCAUUUUAUUAAUUAAAAAAAUUGAUAUAACUCACAUACAAGAAAA